GACAGAGGGUGCAAACGUUGCUCGGAAUCACUGGGCGUAAAGGGCGUGUAGGCGGGACGGUAAGUCGGGCGUGAAAUCCCUAGGCUCAACCUAGGAACUGCACUCGAAACUACCAUUCUUGAGUGCCGGAGAGGAAAGCGGAAUUCCUGGUGUAGAGGUGAAAUUCGUAGAUAUCAGGAGGAACACCAGUGGCGAAGGCGGCUUUCUGGACGAUAACUGACGCUGAGACGCGAAAAGCGUGGGGAGCAAACAGG
rnacentral:rRNA from 1 species